UACGUAGGGCGCAAGCGUUGUCCGGAUUUAUUGGGCGUAAAGAGCGUGUAGGCGGUUAGGUAGGUCCGUUGUGAAAACUCGAGCUCAACCUCGAGACGCCGAUGGAAACCAUCUAACUAGAGUACUGCAGGGGAGACUGGAAUUCCUGGUGUAGCGGUGGAAUGCGCAGAUAUCAGGAGGAACACCGGUGGCGAAGGCGGGUCUCUGGGCAGUAACUGACGCUGGAGGAGCGAAAGCGUGGGGAGCGAACAGG
rnacentral:rRNA from 1 species